UGAGUCUUAGCCAAUCUGAGCAGCUGAGCUUGGGUCAACCACAGGCUGCCAACUGAUGAGACCGUGUUCAAGAAUUUGACAACAGUUUGUGCCGCUUAUGGAUUUAAAGAACUGGCACCUUGAAUGGGAUUCUGAAUAGAAUUCGUACAGAUGGAAUGUAAAUAUCACCCUGAACUGAAUUGGCCCUCAUCCUGUCCAGCCAAUCUGGAAAUGUCUGGUGUGUCUCCUGGGAGCACUCCCCAAAGAACCUUCUACACACAGUUCUCCAACUCAAAGUCUGUUUUCAGGGAAUCCAAUUCAAGACAGGGAUAGUUGGAAGACACAACCGUUCCAUGGACUUUGAUGUUCUUGAUAUUCAUUCUUGGUAUUGGCAUCAUGAAUUGUGACACUAGGAGGCAUCUC
rnacentral:antisense_RNA from 1 species